UUGAUUCAGUUGAAUUAGAUCAA
rnacentral:siRNA from 1 species